rnacentral:rRNA from 1 species
AGUGAACGCUGGCGGUAGGCCUAACACAUGCAAGUCGAACGGCAGCACAGUAAGAGCUUGCUCUUACGGGUGGCGAGUGGCGGACGGGUGAGGAAUACAUCGGAAUCUACUUUUUCGUGGGGGAUAACGUAGGGAAACUUACGCUAAUACCGCAUACGACCUACGGGUGAAAGCAGGGGAUCUUCGGACCUUGCGCGAUUGAAUGAGCCGAUGUCGGAUUAGCUAGUUGGCGGGGUAAAGGCCCACCAAGGCGACGAUCCGUAGCUGGUCUGAGAGGAUGAUCCGCCACAAUGGAACUGAGACACGGUCCCGACUCCUACGGGAGGCCGCAGUGGGGAAUAUUGGACAAUGGGCGCAAGCCUGAUCCAGCCAUACCGCGUGGGUGAAGAAGGCCUUCGGGUUGUAAAGCCCUUUUGUUGGGAAAGAAAAGCAGCAGGUUAAUACCCCGCUGUUCUGACGGUACCCAAAGAAUAAGCACCGGCUAACUUCGUG